GACGAACGCUGGCGGCGUGCUUAAUACAUGCAAGUCAACGAUUUUUAAGAUAGCAAUAUUUUAAAAUAGUGGCGCACGGUGAGUAACACGUAGAUAAUCUGCCUUUAGGUCUGACAUAACUCGUCGAAAGACGGGCUAAUAUCAGAUAAAACAAUAACUUGGCAUCAAGUAAUUGUCAAAGCUUCGGCGCCCAAAGAUGAGUCUGCGGACCAUUAGGUAGUUGGUGGAUUAACAGCCCACCAAGCCAACGAUGGAUAGCUGGUCUGAGAGGAUGAUCAGCCACACUGGAACUGAGACACGGUCCAGACUCCUACGGGAGGCAGCAGUAAGGAAUAUUGCUCAAUGGGAGAAAUCCUGAAGCAGCAACGCCGCGUGAAGGAAGAAGGGUCUUCGACUUGUAAACUUCUGUAGAAGAGG
rnacentral:rRNA from 1 species